rnacentral:rRNA from 1 species
UACAGAGGGUGCGAGCGUUGUCCGGAAUCACUGGGCGUAAAGGGCGCGUAGGCGGUCUCUUAAGCGUGUGGUGAAAGCCCGGGGCUCAACUCCGGGUCGGCCGUGCGAACUGGGGGACUGGAGCUUGUCAGAGGCAGGCGGAAUUCCGGGUGUGAGCGGUGGAAUGCGUAGAGAUCCGGAAGAACACCGGUGGCGAAGGCGGCCUGCUGGGACAGUGCUGACGCUGAGGCGCGACAGCGUGGGGGAGCA